GAUGAAGAACGUAGUGAAAUGCGAUAAGUAAUGUGAAUUGCAGAAUUCAGUGAAUCAUCGAAUCUUUGAACGCACAUUGCGCCCCCUGGUAUUCCGGGGGGCAUGCCUGUUCGAGCGUCAUUUCACCACUCAAGCCUCGCUUGGUAUUGGGCAACGCGGUCCGCCGCGUUCCUCAAAUCGACCGGCUGGGUCUUCUGUCCCCUAAGCGUUGUGGAAACUAUUCGCUAAAGGGUGUUCGGGAGGCUACGCCGUAAAACAACCCCAUUUCUAAGGUUGACCUCGGAUCAGGUAGGGAUACCCGCUGAACUUAAGCAUAUCAAUAAGCGGAGGA
rnacentral:misc_RNA from 1 species